rnacentral:rRNA from 1 species
UAGGGAAUCUUCCGCAAUGGGCGAAAGCCUGACGGAGCAACGCCGCGUGAGUGAUGAAGGUCUUCGGAUCGUAAAACUCUGUUAUUAGGGAAGAACAAAUGUGUAAGUAACUAUGCACGUCUUGACGGUACCUAAUCAGAAAGCCACGGCUAACUACGUGCAAGCAGCCGCGGUAAUACGUAGGUGGCAAGCGUUAUCCGGAAUUAUUGGGCGUAAAGCGCGCGUAGGCGGUUUUUUAAGUCUGAUGUGAAAGCCCACGGCUCAACCGUGGAGGGUCAUUGGAAACUGGAAAACUUGAUUGCAGAAGAGGAAAGUGGAAUUCCAUGUGUAGCAGUGAAAUGCGCAGAGAUAGGGAGGAACACCUGUGGCGAAGGCGACUUUCUGGUCUGUAACUGACGCUGAUGUGCGAAAGCGUGGCGAUCAAACAGG